rnacentral:pre_miRNA from 1 species
UGCCGUACCUCGUUUGUGUGAUGUGAUAAAACAAAUGUAUACAAACGAGGUACGGCUAA